rnacentral:lncRNA from 1 species
UUUACAGUCAUUGCGUAGGGCCAGACACUGGGUUAAGUUUGUUUGAAAUGUGCAUUGGGGAAGGGGCUGCAAGUAACUGAAUACAAGGUUUAUAAGUUUGGUUUUCUAGUAGGGUGAAUGAAAUACGCUAUGAUGGAAGAGAGAAGCAGGGUGGGCGGUAUCAUUUGUGUGAGCCCAGGAGGAACUCAAAAUCAGGGGCAUGUUGAAUAUGUUCAUACGUUUCCAACUCAAGUUGAGGGCUUUCUGGACUUGAUGUGA